rnacentral:rRNA from 1 species
GAUGAACGCUGGCGGCGUGCCUAAUACAUGCCAGUCGAGCGAACAGAUGAGGAGCUUGCUCCUCUGACGUUAGCGGCGGACGGGUGAGUAACACGUGGAUAACCUACCUAUAAGACUGGGAUAACUUCGGGAAACCGGAGCUAAUACCGGAUAAUAUAUUGAACCGCAUGGUUCAAUAGUGAAAGACGGUUUUGCUGUCACUUAUAGAUGGAUCCGCGCCGCAUUAGCUAGUUGGUAAGGUAACGGCUUACCAAGGCAACGAUGCGUAGCCGACCUGAGAGGGUGAUCGGCCACACUGGAACUGAGACACGGUCCAGACUCCUACGGGAGGCAGCAGUAGGGAAUCUUCCGCAAUGGGCGAAAGCCUGACGGAGCAACGCCGCGUGAGUGAUGAAGGUCUUCGGAUCGUAAAACUCUGUUAUUAGGGAAGAACAAAUGUGUAAGUAACUAUGCACGUCUUGACGGUACCUAAUCAGAAAGCCACGGCUAACUACCUG